AUUGAACGCUGGCGGCAGGCUUAACACAUGCAAGUCGAGCGGUAACAGAGAGAAGCUUGCUUCUCUGCUGACGAGCGGCGGACGGGUGAGUAAUGCCUAGGAAUCUGCCUAGUAGUGGGGGAUAACUUGCCGAAAGGUAAGCUAAUACCGCAUACGUCCUACGGGAGAAAGGAGGGGACCUUCGGGCCUUUCGCUAUUAGAUGAGCCUAGGUCGGAUUAGUUAGUUGGUGAGGUAAUGGCUCACCAAGACCGCGAUCCGUAACUGGUCUGAGAGGAUGAUCAGUCACACUGGAACUGAGACACGGUCCAGACUCCUACGGGAGGCAGCAGUGGGGAAUAUUGGACAAUGGGGGGGACCCUGAUCCAGCCAUGCCGCGUGUGUGAAGAAGGUCUUAGGAUUGUAAAGCACUUUAAGUUGGGAGGAAGAGCAGUUAACUAAUAUUUGACUGUUUUGACGUUACCGACAGAAUAAGCACCGGCUAACUUCGUG
rnacentral:rRNA from 1 species